rnacentral:rRNA from 1 species
UACGUAGGUGGCAAGCGUUGUCCGGAUUUAUUGGGUUUAAAGGGUGCGUAGGCGGCCUUAUAAGUCAGUGCUGAAAUAUCCCGGCUUAACCGGGAGGGUGGCAUUGAUACUGUAGGGCUUGAGUAAAGUUGAGGUUGGCGGAAUUGACGGUGUAGCGGUGAAAUGCUUAGAUAUCGUCAAGAACACCGAUAGUGAAGACAGCUAACUAAGCUUUAACUGACGCUGAGGCACAAAAGUGUGGGGAUCAAACAGG